CCUCGUCCUCCACGAAUCCGGCAGAGGAACAUACUGGUGUGCCGCCACCUCCUGCCGGAGGAGACGGGCGCCACUGUCCUGUCGACGCCGUACUGCUUCAUCCCUAGGGUUCGGGUGGCCUCGUCGCCGUCUUUUGCUCCGCCGGUGACGCCUCACGUGGGAUUUAUUGUUUUCUGCUGUGCUGGAUAGAAAGAUUCCUUGGUCUCAACCAGUAAACCUCCAAUCCAACAUGUCCCCCAUGGAGAGGUUUCACCAAGG